rnacentral:rRNA from 1 species
AUGUCCUGCCCAACGAGGAAGGCCCCCGCUGGCGCCCGCGACGGCCGCGUCCUCUUCGAUUGGAUCUCCCUCAUGAACAGAAGCGAGCUCGUUGAGUUCUACCAUGAUGGUCGCCGCCUCACUCGGACCAAACGGGAGCGGUGCAAAGCCGCUGACUUUCACCUUGCCAUCUGUGACCCCCUGUCCAGGAGGUAUGUGCUGCUUCCAACCAUACCUGAGGAUCUGGCCGCCCAGCCGCAUGAUUGCCUAUGGGAAUUCGAGCCCAUUCUUGCUCCCAAAACCAACAACAACAACGAGGAGGAGCCCUUCAAGGUGAUAUGCAUAGGAAGAUGCCGAAGAAAGGUCAUCCUCUUUGUCUUCCGGUCCACAACUAUGCAAUGGUAUGUGGUUGAGUCUCCUGACCACCUUUCUUUGGAGGACAUGUCAUGUUUUGAUUGUGUACGGGACUGCUUCUACUCGACACGUCUCUGGUUUUGGAGUGACCAUUUGAUGGUGCUGGACACACGCACUUUGAAGUUUUCAACCGUCUAUUUUCUAACCAGCUACCAUCGGCAGCUCGGAGACACUGACCCGAGCUAUGAUAAUCGGCGUCCAAAUGAAGUUGCUGAGGGUAGGGAAGGAGCCAUUGAGAUGUUUACUUUUGUCUGCCAACACGGGUCCUAUGCUCUCCACCAUACCUCUCUGCAGGAUAAUUCUCAUGAAUGGAAGCUGCAGAAGAUCGUACAACUACCUGGACAAUAUCAUGCCUAUUCCAUUUCCACAGUGGGUGCAGCUGAGGGAUUCUUGUUCUUCCAAGGUGCUCUGCCUGGCAUUGAGAUUGGCAAUGUUGAUUGUUACUCAAUGGAUAUCAAAACUUAUGAAAUUGCCAAGGUCUGUAUAAAGACGGUGUAUAUGUUUGAUCGCAAACGUGCCAUCCCCUACUUUAGCUUCCCACGGCUGUUAUCAGAACCAACUAUUUGA